rnacentral:lncRNA from 1 species
AGCAGCACCCUCAGAGUGGUGGCCUCAGGAGUCCCAGGCAGCUCCGGCCCUCCCCAGACAGGAGUGGGAGAGGCUUCGGGGAUGCACCUUCAUGUCCACAACGUCAGGCAGGGACUGUCCUUGGAGGAGGCAGCUAGAAUGUCCCUGGCUCUCCAUGGUUUGGACGCACACCAUUGGUGGCAAUUAGUCUGGAGAGCAAAAGGCACAGAGGUGCGCAGUCAUCCUGCGCCCUGGUGGCUGCGCCCAGGAGGUUCCCCUAGUUGGCAAAGGCGCCCAGGUGUCCAAGGCAGAGAACCAUCGCCGCAGGGACCAUUGCCCACAGUUUAA